rnacentral:rRNA from 1 species
CUACGGGUCGCACCAGUGAGGAAUUUUGCGCAAUGGGGGAAACCCUGACGCAGCAACGCCUCGUGAGUGAUGAAGGCCUUCGGGUCGUAAAGCUCUGUCAAGUGGGAAGAACCUAUCGAUAUUGAAUAUAUAUUGAUACUGACGGUACCACAAGAGGAAGCACCGGCUAACUCCGUGCCAGCAGCCGCGGUAAUACGGGGGGUGCAGGCGUUAUUCGGAAUCAUUGGGCGUAAAGGGCGCGCAGGCGGCCUUGUAAGUCAGAUGUGAAAGCCCGGGGCUCAACCCCGGAAGCGCAUUUGAAACUAUGAGGCUUGAGUAUGGGAGAGGGAAGUGGAAUUCCUGGUGUAGCGGUGAAAUGCGUAGAUAUCAGGAGGAACACCGGUGGCGAAGGCGACUUCCUGGGCCAAUACUGACGCUGAGGCGCGAAGGCGUGGGGAGCAAACAGGAUUAGAUACCCGGGUAGUC